UGCGUGACGUCAAAUUGUAUACCUACGUCACGCAAAUUGAUAAUUUUGGCGGUCCAUAGCCGAAAAUAGGCGUUUUUUUUCAAUUUUUCCGUACACCUCUUUUCAGACCUCUUGUACUCUUCCUCUUCCUCUUCCUCUCUCCUCUAUCUCUUCGGUUUUGCUCUUAUACUCUUCCUCUUCCUCUCUCCUCUUCCUCUUCCUCUUCCGUACACCUCUUUUCGGUUUUGGUUAAAUUGCAGACUUUCGGUUUUGCUUAUCUAUCCUCUUCCUCUCUCCUCUAUCUCUUCCCUCUUGCUCAUCUCUCCUCUUCGCAACCUUGAUCCCCAAAUCUUUAACCCAGAUUUGUCUUCCCUCUCUCUGGAACAAAUUGUAUUUUUUAAUAUUGUGAAAGUUACGUUUUCUAUAGUGUGAAAGUCCAAUCUGUGGGAUUUAUUUAUUUUUUAAUUUUGGUGUCGUUGCUGUGUUGUUUUAUGGUUUUGGAUGGUGUUGGAUGACUUGGUGUUUCCAUUUAUGUGUUGCAAAAGAUUUUAUAUUUGCUGCUGAGCCAUAUGAGUGGUACAUUGACUUGCUGCGCUUCGGGGCUGUCAAACAUUGUGGUUUUGGUUUAGGAUUUGAACGAAUGGUUCUGUUUGCUACUGGUAUUGACAACAUUAGAGAUGUUAUUCCUUUCCCUAGAUAUCCAGGAAGAGCAGAUCGUUGAAUUAGUCUAUAGAUUGAAGGGAUAUAUUUGAAUUAGUUGUUAUAGGUUUGUGUCCUUUACCUUUAUCUACAUUAACAACAGUAUUGCCCGAUCAUCAUCGGAAGAACGUAGAACAAAGAAUUGCUGCUGUCAAUUUGAUUUGUUAUUAGACAAGCAGAUCUAUUCAGAAUUAUGUGUUUUGUUGAUUCACAACUUUAAAUUAUGUUUCGUGUGAUUUUUGGAGCUCCAUUGUUAUUUCGAUUUCUUGCGUAUUGGAAGAUUAUGGAUGCACGAUUGGUUGCUGGUUGAUGUGAUUUCUCACCACUGCAUCGCGUCCAGAAGAUCAGGUGCUCGCCUCACAUGGCUUCAUUGAGAAGUGAUGGUUUUGCUUAAGUGUUUUAGAUAAUCUGAAAAAAAAUAUGUAGAUACUAUGAUUUGGGGUUGCUUCCUUAAACCUUGAUAAAGCAGUCCAUGUAAUUUUAGCAUGGUAUCAUUUUUUAUCUAAUGCACGAGUAUAAGAAAUGUUAAGACAAUAGUAUAUUGGGAAACACCAUGUGAUUUAAAAUGCAAAGAGAAACAAUGAACCAUAUUUUAUAUUUUGUUCA